AGAGACUCCUCUAUGGAAACACAGAAGCAACAUCAACCAGGAUGUCAGAACAGCCUCCCAGAGCUGCUGUUUGGAUGUGAACUGCCUCCCACCCUCAUAAUUUUUUGCUUGAGGAUGCUCCACAGGUUCUCAAUAGGAUUGAAAUCAGGGAAGGGCCACUCCAUGAGUUCCUCUCCUUUUACGCCGAUAGCAGCCAAUGAUGCAGAGAGGUCAUUUUCACACCUUCAGGGAGCCUAAAGGGGCCGACCAGCUCUCUCCCCGUGAUUCCGGCUCAGUACAUGACUCCACCACCUCUUUGCUGACGACGCAGCCUUAUUGGGACAUAGUGGCCAUCCACCA
ensembl:lncRNA